GGUCCGCGCGGCACAGAGCGGAAGUUGGUGUCUCGGGACUCUCGCCUCUAGUCACUGUCUGUUGUUGGGGCUCUGUCCCUUUUUGCUGCUCUUGGGCGAGCGGGGUCUGGGGAUGCGGCGCAGCCGCACGCGUUCCGGAGCCUGACCCAGACCUAGCCCGUAGCCCCACUCCCACUGUCCGAAUGGAGAAGCGGAAACGCGCUUAUAGGAGUUCCGUUAAAAACUAAAUUGCUAAGAAGUUAGAGUCAAGUUUCAUUCCAUGGAUCCUUUGGGUGCUCCUUCCCAGUUUGUGGAUAUUGAUACUCUGCCCAGCUGGUUUGAAUGGUAUGAAGCAGAUGAAGUAAAUUCUUCAGAAACUCUAACUGAAAAAGUCCAGGAUGAAGUCAUUAGAUCACCUUUUCCCUUCAGUAAAAAGCUCAGUGGAAAAGUGAUUCUUUGGAAAGGAGAUGUAGCUUUACUAAACUGUACAGCUAUAGUCAAUACCAGCAAUGAAACUCUCACUGAUAAGAAUCCAGUAUCAGAAAGCAUCUUUAUGCUUGCAGGGCCUGAUUUGAAAGAAGAACUCCAGAAACUCAAAGGUUGCCGAACUGGGGAAGCAAAGUUUACAAAAGGAUUCAAUCUGGCUGCCCGUUUCAUCAUUCACACUGUGGGACCCAAAUACAAGAGCCGCUAUCGCACAGCUGCUGAAAGCUCCCUGUAUAGCUGCUACAGAAAUGUACUCCAAUUGGCAACGGAGCAGGCAAUGUCCUCUAUAGGAUUCUGUGUCAUCAAUUCUGCAAAAAGAGGAUAUCCUUUAGAGGAUGCUACCCAUAUAGCACUCCGCACAGUGAGAAGAUUCCUAGAGAUUCAUGGGGAGACCAUUGAAAAAGUAGUAUUUGCUGUCUCUGAGCUUGAAGAGGCCACCUAUAGAAAGCUACUGCCUUUAUAUUUUCCGAGAUCAUUAAAGGAGGAAAGCCAGUCUUUGCCAUAUCUUCCUGCAGAUAUUGGAAAUGCAGAAGGGGAACCAGUAGUACCAGAACGACAGAUCAGGAUUAGUGAAAAGCCAGGUGCUCUGGAUGACAACCUCGAAGAGGAAGAUGAGGGCUUGGGAGCUGAUCUCUCCUUCAUUGGGUCUCACGCUUUUGCUCGAAUGGAGGGAGAUGUUGAUAAGCAGAGACGACUGAUCCUUCAGGGACAGCUCUCAGAGGCAGCUCUGCAGAAACAGCAUCAAAGAAAUUAUAAUCGCUGGCUGUGUCAAGCAAGAGCUGAGGAUCUAUCUGAUAUUGCUUCUUUAAAAGCAUUGUACCAAACAGGUGUAGAUAAUUGUGGUCGCACAGUCAUGGUGGUGGUUGGAAGAAACAUUCCUGUAACAUUAAUAGACAUGGACAAGGCUCUGUUAUAUUUUAUCCAUGUAAUGGAUCACAUUGCUGUAAAAGAAUAUGUCUUAGUAUACUUUCACACACUUACUAGCGAGUACAAUCACUUGGACUCUGACUUUCUGAAGAAACUCUAUGAUGUUGUUGAUAUCAAAUACAAGAGGAACUUGAAAGCAGUUUAUUUUGUCCAUCCAACAUUUCGGUCAAAGGUAUCAACAUGGUUUUUCACCACCUUUUCUGUCUCAGGACUAAAGGACAAGAUCCACCAUGUGGACAGCCUCCACCAGCUAUUUGCUGCCAUAUCUCCAGAACAGAUUGAUUUUCCACCUUUUGUUCUUGAAUAUGAUGCCAGGGAAAACGGGCCUUACUAUGCGUCUUAUCCCCCAUCACCAGAUCUAUGACCUUCCAUCUUGUAGAGUACUGCUGGUUUCCAAGGAUGACUCCCUCUUCCUGGCCUGCUGCCUGUUGAAAUGAAAUUCAUUUGUGCUGUACAGAAUUCAGAGAAGGUCUUUUGUCCCCACCUCUCUGAUAUUUUUUUAUUGACACUAUAUUUUCAGGCACAUAAACAAUCUGCAAAUGUUAGGUCACUGUGCACUCUGUACCACUGUUUUAAAUUUGUAUAUGCAUAUCUAGUGGAAAUACUGAUAUCUGAGGAUAAAAUGAAGGAGAGGCUUUGUGUCUCCAUCCGCUGUUGGAGAGCAGCUUUCAGAUGUCUUGAAUUUCCUACAAAGACAUCAGACUAUUGGACAGGCUGUCAGUCUUGAUCAUAUUGUCACCAUCAUAUUGAAAGCUUCCUAGAGUACUAAACCUAAACUAUUUGUAACAAUGUACAGAACUGUUCAGACUAUGCUCAUCAGAUUAGGAAAUUUACUUCCAAUCCUUUUGUGUUGUUUACUUCUGACAUAUACAGGUACUUUACCUACAACAGAGGAGAGUGGUGUGAAACUGAGAAAGUUGCAAAUGAUUUGACUAAAGAUCUUUGAAAAGUUUAGCAGGAUAUGGGCUGUGUAGACUUGAGUCCUGAAAGUGCCAGAAAAACAUUUCCAAGGUUGGCUGUUGCAAAAAGAGAAACAAUUUGUGGAAGGGCCGGAUUGGGGAAACAUUAUAGACAUGUUUUUGCUAAUGCAAUUCACGUAGCAAACAUAACUACUGAAUACAAUAUUCUGUUGACUAUUGAAAGCUAAAUACAUUAUGUAAACACACAAGUCACACUUUUCUUUGUAAUGAUUUUUGUUAGGAUAAGCACACAGUCAGCACAAACUGAGCCAGGACUUUCAGACCAGAUCUUACUGAUUAAAAUAAAUAAUUUUGUAAAAUCUUGAACACAUGUAAAUCAUUUUAAUUACUGCUGAGCAAUAGAAACCCAAGGGCUUUAUGUAGCUGGCAUGACUUAAAAAUGUUUAUUCAAAAUUCAGAAAGCCUUUCCCAGUGUUUCACAUUUAAAGAUAUGUUUUUAAAUAUGCUUUUCUUGAUUUGAGAAUUUUGUUUUCUUUUGUUUUAAAGUGAGUAUGUGUAUGCAUUUGAAGAAUAUUGAAAUUUGGAGAGCCAAGAAAGAAAUGGUAAAGUUCAUUUAGUGAACAAGAUUGUAAACCAUUUUUCUUUUUCUAUGCUACCAUCCUAAUCAAUAAAGCCUGACACAUGCAGUAAAUAGUAUGAUUAAAUUAUGUAAGAAGUUUCUUACAAUAUGAAUUCUAUCCACUAAGACAUUUUUGCUUUGUGAAAGCAAAUUCCAUGUACAGAGCAAGAACUUUUUGCAGAUACUGGUGCAGAUUUCUUAAAAUAUAUGUAAUAGAUGCAUUCUAGGAACUUGCCUAUUAAGCUUCUAUCUUCAUAUGGAAUUGUUUAUCUAUUAUAGCCAUUUUAAAAUAUUAACCCUUAUAAGAUGAAAAUCUGCACAUUCUGAAAAUCUACGUAUUUAAAUAGAAAAUUAGCUAAAUUCCUGUUGAGAGUUUAAAUCCAUUCUUUGAUUUUCUUUAACAGUAUCUAUUGGGAUAGUGCGUUACCAUUUUUAAGACCCUUUACCUUAAUAUUUCUGUGAUCUUCACAAUAAUCCUUUGAGGGUGGUAGGGCCCAUGACUGGCCCCUUCAUACUGAUGAAGUCAUUUGGGAUCAUGUAAACUGACUUACUC